AUGGUUUGGUUAAAUAAAAAAAAAUAAAAAAAAAUAUCUGUUCUUAUCAGUUUAAUAUCUGAUACGUCCCCCAUCGGGGGACUACAUAUUAAAUGGAUUUUUCGAACAGGGAGUCGGAAAUGGGGCUUGCUCCGUCCGCUCCACGCAUCGACCCGGUAUUGCAGUACCUCCGGGAACGGUGCAACACUU
rnacentral:snRNA from 1 species